rnacentral:rRNA from 1 species
CGGGGGGGGGGCAAGCGUUGUUCGGAAUUACUGGGCGUAAAGGGCGCGUAGGCGGACGGGACAGUCUUUCGUGAAAUCCCACGGGCUCAACCGUGGAACUGCGGGAGAUACUUCUCGUCUUGAGUUCGGGAGAGGAGUGUGGAAUUCCCAGUGUAGCGGUGAAAUGCGUAGAUAUUGGGAGGAACACCGGUGGCGAAGGCGGCACUCUGGACCGAUACUGACGCUGAGGCGCGAAAGCUAGGGGAGCAAACGGGAUUAGAUACCCCGGUAGUCCUGGCUGUAAACGCUGAGCACUUGGUGUAGCGGGUAUCGACCCCUGCUGUGCCGAAGCUAACGCAUUAAGUGCUCCGCCUGGGGAGUACGGUCGCAAAGGCUG